UCUGCCCCCUAGAGGCAUUGCAGAUAUGGCUGCUAUGUCAUAUGUGCAUCAGUAGGUGGCAGAGAGGAGAGGCUAUGACUGCUCAGUCUAACUUGUGAACAUCUGAAUGAUUGGCAGCCUACUUU
ensembl:snoRNA LOC120095753 small nucleolar RNA SNORA17